UACGUAGGAUCCAAGCGUUGUCCGGAUUUACUGGGUGUAAAGGGUGCGCAGGCGGGCUGGUAAGUCAGGAGUGAAAUCUCGGCGCUUAACGCCGAAACUGCUUUUGAUACUGCCAGUCUUGAAUCAGCGAGAGACGUGUGGAAUUCCGAGUGUAGCAGUGAAAUGUGUAGAUAUUCGGAAGAACACCCAGUGGCGAAGGCAGCACGUUGGCGCUCGAUUGACGCUCAGGCACGAAAGCAUGGGGACAAACAGG
rnacentral:rRNA from 1 species